rnacentral:tRNA from 1 species
AUUAUAUUGGCAGAAAUAAUGCAUUAGAAUUAGAAUCUAAUUAACUAUAUAUCA